GUGCCAGCCGCCGCGGUAAUACGUAGGGUGCAAGCAUUGUCCGGAUUUAUUGGGCGUAAAGAGCUCGUAGGCGGCUUGUCACGUCGGAUGUGAAAACUCGGGGCUCAACCCCGAGCCUGCAUUCGAUACGGGCUAGCUAGAGUGUUGCAGGGGAGACUGGAAUUCCUGGUGUAGCGGUGAAAUGCGCAGAUAUCAGGAGGAACACCGGUGGCGAAGGCGGGUCUCUGGGCAACUACUGACGCUGAGGAGCGAAAGCGUGGGGAGCGAACAGGAUUAGAUACCCUGGUAGUCCACGCCGUAAACGUUGGGCGCUAGGUGUGGGGAACCUUCCACGUUCUCCGUGCCGUAGCUAACGCAUUAAGCGCCCCGCCUGGGGAGUACGGCCGCAAGGCUAAAACUCAAAUGAAUUGACGG
rnacentral:rRNA from 1 species